UACGUAGGGUGCGAGCGUUAAUCGGAAUUACUGGGCGUAAAGCGUGCGCAGGCGGUUCGUUGUGUCGGUGGUGAAAUCCCCGGGCUUAACCUGGGAAUGGCCAUGGAAACUGGCGAACUGGAGUGCGGCAGAGGGGGGUGGAAUUCCGCGUGUAGCAGUGAAAUGCGUAGAGAUGUGGAGGAACACCGAUGGCGAAGGCAGCCCCCUGGGCUAACACUGACGCUCAUGCACGAAAGCGUGGGGAGCAAACAGG
rnacentral:rRNA from 1 species